rnacentral:rRNA from 1 species
GGAUCAUUAUACAUACAGGGGACGUUUUAGCGUUCCCGGACCCAAACCCUCUCUGUGUACAAAUCCAUGUUGCUCUCCCAGGUGGUUGGUGGCAGCAGCUGUCCAACUCUGCCUGUAUAGCUUACCUCUUUGGAUGAACUAUGCAGGCCCCUGGGAGAGGGCCUAUCCUGAGCCAAUUAUUGAAUUAGCUGUCUGAGUUGGCCCAGUGCCAUUUUCUUUAAACAAGUUAAAACUUUCAACAACGGAUCUCUUGGCUCUCGCAUCGAUGAAGAACGCAGCGAAAUGCGAUAAGUAAUGUGAAUUGCAGAAUUCAGUGAAUCAUCGAAUCUUUGAACGCACAUUGCGCCCCUUGGUAUUCCUUGGGGCAUGCCUGUUCGAGCGUCACUGCAAACCCGCUCAUAAAUAUUAUGGUUGUGAUGGAAGUGAACUGAGGCUAUCAGUAUGCCUGGGUCACCCUGUCGAAAUUCAUAGGCAGGACAAUUAACCACUGCAAUGGACUUAGUAACUGUUUCAAAGACAUCAACCAGUCCCUUGCUAGGUGCUGGCCUGGCCUCCAUGGACCUCCAUCCAAGAUAAACUCUGGGUUGACCUCGGAUCAGGUAGGGAUACCCGCUGAACUUAA